rnacentral:tRNA from 1 species
AGAGUAGCUCAAUUGGUAGAGCGUCAGCCUUCCAAGCUGAGGGUUGCGAGUUCGAGUCUCGUCUCU